UACGAAGGGGGCUAGCGUUGUUCGGAAUCACUGGGCGUAAAGAGCACGCAGGCGGAUUGAUAAGUCAGGGGUGAAAUCCCGGAGCUCAACUUCGGAAUUGCCUUUGAUACUGUCUGUCUUCGAGUUCGGGAGAGGUUGGCGGAAUUCCUAGUGUAGAGGUGAAAUUCGUAGAUAUUAGGAAGAACACCAGUGGCGAAGGCGGCCAACUGGCCCGAUACUGACGCUCAUGUGCGAAAGCGUGGGGAGCAAACAGG
rnacentral:rRNA from 1 species